CCCCCAUUACAACUUCCGUUUUUCAGUAGGGACGAUUGUAGUUCUGUGUAUUUUAGGGUGUAAAGUCUUUUUUUGCUGCCAGCCUGCCGUUUUUGGUGUACAGGUGCAUGCUUGGUAUCAAAAUGAUGGAAAUUGUCUAAGCUUUGGGCAGGUAUGAGUUUUAAUGGUGAAAGUUUGAAAUUCUGGGCGAGAGGACACAAGGAGACAGGUGGUGAUGAGGCUGCGAGUGACGUCCCCUUGGCGUUGCUAGGCACCCCUCCCAGCUGCCGGCAUGGAAAGGUCCAGAUUUUGACGGUCAACCUAUGUCAAGAUUUUUACAGCUUCUUUCUCACAGGCUGGGCCAGGUUAAAAAGUAUAGCUUUUCCCCUCUUCUUGGGUCCCUUCAACAUGUCUUGGGAGGGUUGCCUUGCUGACUGUCUGAAUGACCAAUGUGCAUGUACUGUGUGGCUUUAUUUUUGUAAGUGGCAAAUUCAUAUUUCUCCCCUCUACUUAUCUCUUGUAGAUGCCAGUGUCACACUUUGGUGUUUGUUAUGUAGAAAGUACUAAUUUAGUCUGAGGCAACAACACAGGUGGUGGGAUUCUUUUGCACUGUGAGUUGAGAUAUACAUACCAGCUUUCCAAAACAUUUGACCUGGUUGAGAUAUUUUGAACGGUAUGUGCACUACAGAGCUUUGAACUUCAUGCUUGAGGACGGACAAACAGACACAUUUCCAAGAUAGGGGUACCCCAAGUUAAAUUCCUCCUACUCAAAAGUUUUUGCAUGUAUCAAGCUGUAACUUUAUGUGUGAGGUUUAGAGGUAGUAAGCAUUAUGUGGUGCAAAAAUUAUUGAUUUUGAAAAAAGUUGGCUGGUGUGAUAGGACACAGACCCCCAUUACAACUUCCGUUUUUCAGUAGGGACGAUUGUAGUUCUGUGUAUUUUAGGGUGUAAAGUCUUUUUUUGCUGCCAGCCUGCCGUUUUUGGUGUACAGGUGCAUGCUUGGUAUCAAAAUGAUGGAAAUUGUCUAAGCUUUGGGCAGGUAUGAGUUUUAAUGGUGAAAGUUUGAAAUUCUGGGCGAGAGGACACAAGGAGACAGGUGGUGAUGAGGCUGCGAGUGACGUCCCCUUGGCGUUGCUAGGCACCCCUCCCAGCUGCCGGCAUGGAAAGGUCCAGAUUUUGACGGUCAACCUAUGUCAAGAUUUUUACAGCUUCUUUCUCACAGGCUGGGCCAGGUAUGCACCAAAGCUUAUUGGCCUCGGAAUGUUUGGGACUGAGCUACAGCGCUAAACGUUAACAUUGUCGCUUAUGGAAAACUAA